rnacentral:rRNA from 1 species
AUUGUUAGUGGCAGACGGGUGAGUAAUGCGUAGGAAUCUACCUAGUAGUAUGGAAUAGCCAUUAGAAAUGAUGGGUAAUACUGUAUAAUCCCUGCGGGGGAAAGAUUUAUCGCUAUUAGAUGAGCCUACGUUAGAUUAGCUAGUUGGUAAGGUAAUGGCUUACCAAGGCUAUGAUCUAUAGCUGGUCUGAGAGGACGAUCAGCCACACUGGAACUGAGAUACGGUCCAGACUCCUACGGGAGGCAGCAGUGGGGAAUAUUGGACAAUGGGCGAAAGCCUGAUCCAGCUAUGCCGCGUGAGUGAAGAAGGCCUUCGGGUUA